rnacentral:lncRNA from 1 species
GGCUGCGACGUACACGGUGUGGCUCAACUAUGAGCAGCAGGGCAGGCCGCCUCGCUUGGCAAAGUCUGAUGACAGCCCCAAAUUCGUGACCGGACCUGCAGACCGAGUGGUAACCUCCCAAGCUGCCCCACAGGCCCACACUCGAUUAACACCAAAAAUAUUGGGGCACUUGAAUUAUUUGAAACUUGUGGGUGCUGAGGAUCUGCUAUUGUGGGGACAGAACCCCACGGCGACGGGAUUUGCAGGCCGCGAAUUUGAGGUGUCUGACUUGGACUCGGGUUCCAUCUACUGCCUCCUCACAUCUCCCUUCCACCAGGCAAGCUGUUCACAUUGAGACCCUCCUUGCUUUUCAAUAUUAGCAAAGAACUGCACC